AGUGAACGCUGGCGGUAGGCCUAACACAUGCAAGUCGAACGGCAGCACAGUAAGAGCUUGCUCUUACGGGUGGCGAGUGGCGGACGGGUGAGGAAUACAUCGGAAUCUACUUUUUCGUGGGGGAUAACGUAGGGAAACUUACGCUAAUACCGCAUACGACCUACGGGUGAAAGCAGGGGAUCUUCGGACCUUGCGCGAUUGAAUGAGCCGAUGUCGGAUUAGCUAGUUGGCGGGGUAAAGGCCCACCAAGGCGACGAUCCUGAGCUGGUCUGAGAGGAUGAUCAGCCACACUGGAACUGAGACACGGUCCAGACUCCGACGGGAGGCAGCAGUGGGGAAUAUUGGACAAUGGGCGCAAGCCUGAUCCAGCCAUACCGCGUGGGUGAAGAAGGCCUUCGGGUUGUAAAGCCCUUUUGUUGGGAAAGAAAAGCAGCAGGUUAAUACCCCGCUAUUCUGACGGUACCCAAAGAAUAAGCACCGGCUAACUUCGUG
rnacentral:rRNA from 1 species